AAGACAUCCAAAGGACCAUCCAGACCAGGUAGGAAGAUACAACCUCAGCACUCCUGGCAGGACCGGGAUCUGCACGUAUCAUCCAAAAAUACAUCACACAGUCCUAGACACUUGGGAAGUAUUCGACUUGUGAUACGAAAUCCAGCAUAUCUAUCUUAUUUGCUGUGUCAGACAAUAAUAAUAAUAAUAAUAAUAAUAAUAAUAAUAAUAAUAAUAAUACAACUUAAAGAAGAAGAACAUGCCCUGGCAGAAUAUGUAAAGCAAAGUGAAGAACCUGCUUUGAUUGAAGUCAAAAAUCAGAAACUCCCCAAAACACAGCAGACAAAGAAUCAGUACAAGAAAACCGCACUACAAACUAGAGCUGACAGCUGGCACAACAAAACAUUGCAUGGAAAGUUCCUUGACAAAAUUGAAGGAAAAGCUGAUAAGGAGAAGACCUGGCUCUGGCUCACGAAUGGGACCCUGAAGAAGGAGACAGAAGGCCUGAUCCUUGCAGCCCAGGAGCAAGACAUCAGAACAAAGGCAAUUCAGGCCAAGAUCGAAAAAUCAGCUGAUGACCCAAAAUGCAGACUGUGCAACGAAACCGACGAAACCAUGGAUCAUAUCCUCAGCUGCUGUAAGAAAAUUGCACAGACAGACUACAAACAGAGGCACAACUAUGUGGCCCAAAUGAUUCAUUGGAACUUAUGCCUCAAGUACCACCUCCCAGCAAUAAAGAACUGGUGGGAUCACAAACCUGCAAAAGUAUUGGAAAAUGAGCAGGAAAAGAUACUGUGGGACUUCCGAAUCCAGACUGACAAAGUUCUGGAACACAACACACCAGACAUCACAGUUGUGGAAAAGAAAAAGGUUUGGAUCAUUGAUGUCGCGAUCCCAGGUGACAGUCGCAUUGACGAAAAACAACAGGAAAAACUCAGCUGCUCUCAGGACCUCAAGAUUGAACUGCAAAGGCUCUGGCAGAAACCAGUGCAGGUGGUCCCGGUGGUGAUGGGCACACUGGGUGCCAUGCCAAAAGAUCUCAGCCGGCAUUUGGAAACAAUAGACAUUGACAAAAUCGCGAUCUGCCAACUGCAAAAGGCCACCCGACUGGGAUCUGCACGCAUCAUCCGAAAAUACAUCACACAGUCCUAG
rnacentral:lncRNA from 1 species